rnacentral:rRNA from 1 species
GACGAACGCUGGCGGCGUGCUUAACACAUGCAAGUCGAACGAAGUGGCGAACGGGUGAGUAACGCGUAAUCAACCUGCCCUUCAGAGGGGGACAACAGUUGGAAACGACUGCUAAUACCGCAUACUGAAGGAGGGGAUUGCGGUUGAUUAGCUAGUUGGAGGGGUAACGGCCCAACAAGGCGAUGAUCAGUAGCCGGUCUGAGAGGAUGGACAGCCACAUUGGGACUGGGACACGGCCCAGACUCCUACCGGAGGCAGCAGGGGGGAAUCUUCCGACAUGGACGAAAGGCUGACGGAGCAACGCCGCGUGAGUGAUGACGGCCUUCGGGUUGUAAAGCUCUUUUAAGCGGGACGCGGUACCGGAAUAGAAAGCCACGGCUAACUACGUGCCAGCAGCCGCGGUAAUUC